UACAGAGGUCCCAAGCGUUGUUCGGAUUCACUGGGCGUAAAGGGUGCGUAGGUGGUCGGGUAAGUCUGAUGUGAAAUCUCCGAGCUCAACUCGGAAAUGGCAUUGGAUACUAUUCGGCUCGAGGGUUGGAGGGGGGACUGGAAUUCUCGGUGUAGCAGUGAAAUGCGUAGAUAUCGAGAGGAACACCAGUGGCGAAGGCGAGUCCCUGGACAACUCCUGACACUGAGGCACGAAAGCUAGGGGAGCAAACAGG
rnacentral:rRNA from 1 species